AGUGAACGCUGGCGGUAGGCCUAACACAUGCAAGUCGAACGGCAGCACAGAGGAGCUUGCUCCUUGGGUGGCGAGUGGCGGACGGGUGAGGAAUACAUCGGAAUCUACUCUGUCGUGGGGGAUAACGUAGGGAAACUUACGCUAAUACCGCAUACGACCUACGGGUGAAAGCAGGGGACCUUCGGGCCUUGCGCGAUUGAAUGAGCCGAUGUCGGAUAGCUAGUUGGCGGGGUAAAGGCCCACCAAGGCGACGAUCCGUAGCUGGUCUGAGAGGAUGAUCAGCCACACUGGAACUGAGACACGGUCCAGACUCCUACGGGAGGCAGCAGUGGGGAAUAUUGGACAAUGGGCGCAAGCCUGAUCCAGCCAUACCGCGUGGGUGAAGAAGGCCUUCGGGUUGUAAAGCCCUUUUGUUGGGAAAGAAAUCCAGCUGGCUAAUACCCGGUUGGGAUGACGGUACCCAAAGAAUAAGCACCGGCUAACUUCGUGCCAGCCGCCGCAGUAA
rnacentral:rRNA from 1 species